rnacentral:rRNA from 1 species
GACGAACGCUGGCGGCGUGCUUAACACAUGCAAGUCGAACGGAAAGGCCCUGCUUUUGUGGGGUGCUCGAGUGGCGAACGGGUGAGUAACACGUGAGUAACCUGCCCUUGACUUUGGGAUAACUUCAGGAAACUGGGGCUAAUACCGGAUAGGAGCUCCUGCUGCAUGGUGGGGGUUGGAAAGUUUCGGCGGUUGGGGAUGGACUCGCGGCUUAUCAGCUUGUUGGUGGGGUAGUGGCUUACCAAGGCUUUGGCGGAUAGCCCGCCUGGGAGGGUGACCGCCCACAUUACUACUAAGAUACGGCCCAGACUCCUACGUUAGACAGCAGUGGGAAAUAUUGCACAAUGAUCGCAAGCCUGAUACAGCAACCCCGCGUUCGUGAUGACCGCCUUCUGGUUGUAAACAGCUUUCGCCUGUGACGAAGCGUGAGUGACGGUAAUGAGUAAAGAAGCACCGGCUAACUACGUG